rnacentral:misc_RNA from 1 species
UCCGUGUUAACCACGGCAGUCUCUUUAGAGAGCCCAACUUAAUGCUGGCAACUAAAGACAAGGGUUGCGCUCGUUGCGGGACUUAACCCAACAUGUCACCACACGAGCUGACGACAGCCAUGCAGCACCUGUCAUCUGGUCGUAUUGCUACGAAUUACGUAUCUCUACGUCGAUCCAGAGAUGUCAAACCCAGGUAAGGUUUUUCGCGUUGCUUCGAAUUAAACCACAUGAUCCACCGCUUGUGCGGGCCCCCGUCAAUUCCUUUGAGUUUUAGUCUUGCGACCGUACUUCCCAGGCGGGGUACUUAUUGCGUUAGCUCCGACUCGGCGGGGGUCAAGACCCACCAAGUCUAGUACCCAUCGUUUACAGCGUGGACUAC